GGGCCGCUAGCUCAGUUGGCAGAGCAACGCCCUUUUAAGGCGUGGGUCAAUGGUUCGAACCCAUUGCGGCUCA
rnacentral:tRNA from 1 species